GAUGAACGCUGGCGGCGUGCCUAAUACAUGCAAGUCGAGCGAACGGACGAGAAGCUUGCUUCUCUGAUGUUAGCGGCGGACGGGUGAGUAACACGUGGAUAACCUACCUAUAAGACUGGGAUAACUUCGGGAAACCGUAGCUAAUACCGGAUAAUAUUUUGAACCGCAUGGUUCAAAAGUGAAAGACGGUCUUGCUGUCACUUAUAGAUGGAUCCGCGCUGCAUUAGCUAGUUGGUAAGGUAACGGCUUACCAAGGCAACGAUGCAUAGCCGACCUGAGAGGGUGAUCGGCCACACUGGAACUGAGACACGGUACAGACUCCUACGGGAGGAAGCAGUAGGGAAUCUUCCGCAAAGGGCGAAAGCCUGACGGAGCAACGCCGCGUGAGUGAUGAAGGUCUUCGGAUCGUAAAACUCUGUUAUUAGGGAAGAACAUAUGUGUAAGUAACUGUGCACAUCUUGACGGUACCUAAUCAGAAAGCCACGGCUAACUACGUG
rnacentral:rRNA from 1 species